CCUACGGGACGCAGCAGUGAGGAAUAUUUUUCAGUGUACGCAAGUCUGAACCAGCCAUGCCGCGUGCAGGAUGACGGCUCUAUGAGUUGUAAACUGCUUUUGUACGAGGGUAAACCCCGAUACGUGUAUCGGGUUGAAAGUAUCGUACGAAUAAGGAUCGGCUAACUCCGUGCCAGCAGCCGCGGUAAUACGGAGGAUCCGAGCGUUAUCCGGAUUUAUUGGGUUUAAAGGGUGCGUAGGCGGGCUUUUAAGUCAGCGGUAAAAAUUCGGGGCUCAACCCCGUCCGGUCGUUGAAACUGGGGGCC
rnacentral:rRNA from 1 species